rnacentral:rRNA from 1 species
UACGUAGGGGGCAAGCGUUGUCCGGAAUCAUUGGGCGUAAAGAGCGUGUAGGCGGUCCGGUAAGUCCGCUGUGAAAGUCGGGGGCUCAACCCUCGAAUGCCGGUGGAUACUGUCGGGCUAGAGUGCGGAAGAGGCGAGUGGAAUUCCUGGUGUAGCGGUGAAAUGCGCAGAUAUCAGGAGGAACACCAAUGGCGAAGGCAGCUCGCUGGGACGGUACUGACGCUGAGACGCGAAAGCCAGGGGAGCAAACAGG